rnacentral:tmRNA from 1 species
GGGGGUGCACCGGUUUCGACUGGCGCGGCUCGGGUUGCAGGUUGCAGGUGGAGCGUCGGCCUCCUAAUAUCCGACAAACUUAUAAUUGCCGAAAACGACAAUUACGGCUACGCCUUAGCGGCGUAAUCGCGUGGGACAGUCUCGCCGCCUUGAGGGGCUGUUUCCGCGUUGCAAUCAAGGCUGGCCGCACAAUGGUUUUCAGACAUUGCGCGGUAAGAUUUUCUGAAAUACGGAUGGGCCGCGUGCCGUGAAGCCAAGCCCGUCCUGACAAUAUGAUGCACGGCUAAACCUGUAGACGCUUGUAGUCCGCGCGUUAGGACAUGGGUUCAAUUCCCAUCACCUCCAUUC